rnacentral:tRNA from 4 species
GGGGUUGUAGGGUAGCUUGGUCUAUCCUUCGGCGUUCGGGACGCCGAGACCUGAGUUCAAAUCUCAGCAACCCCA